rnacentral:rRNA from 1 species
UACGGGGGGGGCAAGCGUUGUUCGGAAUUACUGGGCGUAAAGGGUUCGUAGGUGGCCCCCUAAGUCAGACGUGAAAUCCCUCAGCUUAACUGGGGAACUGCGUCUGAGACUGGAUGGCUUGAGUGCAGGAGAGGAACGCGGAAUUCCAGGUGUAGCGGUGAAAUGCGUAGAUAUCUGGAGGAACACCGGUGGCGAAGGCGGCGUUCUGGACUGCAACUGACACUGAUGAACGAAAGCCAGGGGAGCAAACGGG